rnacentral:rRNA from 1 species
AUGUAUAACGUAAGUUUGUUGUAUAAAUUAUUAGUUUAUGCAGCUUUGGCCCUGCUAAGUAAAGUUCUAAGUAGAAUGAUGAUAAUGACGUUUUCUAUCGAAAAAAAUAGUCUUGACCAAAUCACGUGCCAGCAGUCGCGGUAAUACGUGGGAGACUAGUGUUAUUCAUAAUUAAUUGGUUUAAAGGGUACCUAGACGGUUUAUGCAGCCCAAAAUGGAACUAAUAAACUAGAGUUUAAUGCGAGGGGGGGAGUACUAAAGAGUGUAGAGAUGAAAUUCUGUCAUACCUGCCUUGGAACAGGUAACAGCGAAAGCAACCUCUUAUGUAAAAACUGACGUUGAAGGACGAAGGCUUGGGACACCAACAGGAUUAGGUACCCCAGCAGUCCUUGCAGACAAUGAUGAAUGUCAUAGAUUGGAGAUACAGAUAUCUUUUUUCUAUAUAGAAAAAAGAUAUUUUUUUUUGUCUAUAAAUGAAAGUGUAAGCAUUCCACCUCAAGAGUAAUGUGGCAACGCAGAAACUGAAAUCAUUAGACCGUACCUGAAACCAGUAGUGAAGUAUGUUGUUUAAUUUGAUGAUCCUCAAAACACCUUACCACAAUUUGAAUGUUUUUUUUACACAAGCGUUGCACGGCUGUCUUCAGUUAAUGUCGUGAGAUUUUGGUUAGUUCCAUAAAAUUAACGUAAACCCUUGUUUUAUUUAUUAUAAAGCAGUUCCCCACUAUAUUGGAUAUGAUAAUAGGGAUUAAGACAAGUCAAUAUGGCCUUAAUAUUGUGGGCUAU